GCGGAGGAAAAGAAACCAACAGGGAUUACCUCAGUAACGGCGAGUGAAGCGGUAACAGCUCAAAUUUGAAAGCUAGCUCUUCUAGGGUUCGCGUUGUAAUUUGCAGAAGAUGCUUCGGGUGUGGCCCCGGUCUAAGUUCCUUGGAACAGGACGUCAUAGAGGGUGAGAAUCCCGUACGUGACUGGGUGCCUUCGCUCAUGUGAAGCUCUUUCGACGAGUCGAGUUGUUUGGGAAUGCAGCUCAAAAUGGGUGGUAAAUUUCAUCUAAAGCUAAAUAUUGGCCAGAGACCGAUAGCGCACAAGUAGAGUGAUCGAAAGAUGAAAAGCACUUUGGAAAGAGAGUUAAACAGUACGUGAAAUUGUUGAAAGGGAAGCGCUUGCAACCAGACUUGCGCGCUGAUGAUCAUCCGGGUUUCUGCCCGGUGCACUCGUCUGCGCUCAGGCCAGCAUCGGUUUCGGUGGUGGGAUAAAGGCCUUGGGAAUGUAGCUUCUCUCGGGGAGUGUUAUAGCCCUCGGUGCAAUGCCGCCUACCGGGACCGAGGACCGCGCUUCGGCUAGGAUGCUGGCGUAAUGGUUGUAAGCGACCCGUCUUGAAACACGGACCAAGGAGUCUAACAUCUAUGCGAGUGUUUGGGUGUCAAACCCAUACGCGUAAUGAAAGUGAACGGAGGUGAGAACCCUUAAGGGUGCAUCAUCGACCGAUCCUGAUGUCUUCGGAUGGAUUUGAGUAAGAGCAUAGCUGUUGGGACCCGAAAGAUGGUGAACUAUGCGUGAAUAGGGUGAAGCCAGAGGAAACUCUGGUGGAGGCUCGCAGCGGUUCUGACGUGCAAAUCGAUCGUCAAAUUUGCGUAU
rnacentral:sRNA from 1 species